GGGAAUCCAGGUGAAUUUACAAUGCUUGAACUUGCUGAGAAUGUUAAGGAGCUUAUCAAUCCUGAUGUGAAGAUCGCUAUGGUGGAAAACACACCAGAUGAUCCUCGUCAAAGGAAGCCAGACAUUACAAAAGCAAAGGAGCUGCUAGGAUGGGAACCUAAGAUCAAGCUGCGUGAUGGUCUUCCACUUAUGGAGGAUGAUUUCCGACAGAGGCUUGGGGUCCCCAGAAAGAAUUGAAAUGCAUGCUGCUAGAAAAUUUUUACUGGAGCAAAUAGUCGACACCCUAGUCACCUGUUUCUUCCAAUGUCUUACUAUAAUUUACAAUAAAUGGAUUGUUCCCUUAUGAUUUAAAGUAGGCAAUAGUGUAAACAGUAGAACUUACAUCUAUUGAUUCAACCACUUGGUAUAUGAAUUAAUCAUGAGAGAACAAUCCAUUUAUUGUAAAUUAUAGUAAGACAUUGGAAGAAACAGGUGACUGGGGUGUCGACUAUUUGCUCCAGUAAAAAUUUUCUAGCAGCAUGCAUUUCAAUUCUUUCUGGGGACCCCAAGCCUCUGUCGGAAAUCAUCCUCCAUAAGUGGAAGACCAUCACGCAGCUUGAUCUUAGGUUCCCAUCCUAGCAGCUCCUUUGCUUUUGUAAUGUCUGGCUUCCUUUGACGAGGAUCAUCUGGUGUGUUUUCCACCAUAGCGAUCUUCACAUCAGGAUUGAUAAGCUCCUUAACAUUCUCAGCAAUUCACCUGGAUUCCCAAUAUUGAUAGGUCCAGUGUUCUCUCCUUCCAUCAAUCGAAUAAGACCAUCAACCAUGUCAGACACAUAACAGAAACUCCGGGUUUGUGUUCCUGGUGCUUGAACAGUCAAGGGCUCAUUACGGAUUGCUUGGGCUAUGAAAUUGCUGACAACACGCCCAUCAUCAAUGUUCAUGCGAGGUCCAUAUGUGUUGAAAAUUCUGGCAAUUCGUAUCUCAAUCCCAUGUUGUCUAUGGUAAUCAAACAUCAAAGUUUCAGCUACACGCUUUCCCUCAUCAUAGCAACUCCUAACUCCAAUUGGAUUGACAUUUCCCCAAUAGCUUUCAUCCUGAGGAUGCACAAGUGGAUCUCCGUACACCUCUGAAGUUGAGGUAAGCAAAAUCCUUGCCCCAACACGCUUGGCAAGACCCAACAUGUUCAAUGUACCAAUCACAUUUGUCUUUAUAGUCUUUACAGGAUUGUAUUUGUAGAAGAUUGGAGAAGCAGGGCAAGCAAGAUGGUAUAUUUGGUCAACCUCAAUAAGCAAUGGUUCAGUGACAUCAUGACGAAUGAGUUCAAAUCUUGGAUGACCAAUCCAUUUCUUCAGGUUGUCUUUUGAGCCAGUGAAGUAGUUAUCUACAACAAUCACCUCGUUCUUUUCAUUUUCCAUUAACUUGUCCACCAGGUGAGAGCCAAUAAAUCCAGCUCCUCCAGUGACCAAAAUUCUCAUAUUGGACUGAAAGAACUUGGAGAAUCUCAAAGGAGAUGGGGUCGGUGGUGGUUUUGAUGCAGAGUUGUGAUUUCCAUUAGCUGCUUCCUUAGCCAUUAUUGUUGAAUUCCGCUGAACUUAAGUGAGAAAUUUAGAUAGAGAGAUUUCUAAAUUCUACGAUUUCCGAUAGUACGUUAUACAGUGGAUAGAGAUGGAGAGAACAUUAUAUAUAGUGGAGUGUUUGAUGUUUGAAUGGUUUGAUCACGAAAG
rnacentral:misc_RNA from 1 species